GAUGAACGCUGGCGGCGUGCUUAACACAUGCAAGUCGAACGGAAAGGCCCAAGCUUGCUUGGGUCCUCGAGUGGCGAACGGGUGAGUAACACGUGGGUGAUCUGCCCUGCACUUCGGGAUAAGCCUGGGAAACUGGGUCUAAUACCGGAUAGGACCACGUCUUGGAUGUUGUGGUGGAAAGUUUUUUCGGUGUGGGAUGAGCUCGCGGCCUAUCAGCUUGUUGGUGGGGUAAUGGCCUACCAAGGCGUCGACGGGUAGCCGGCCUGAGAGGGUGUACGGCCACAUUGGGACGGAGAUACGGCCCAGACUCCUACGGGAGGCAGCAGUGGGGAAUAUUGCACAAUGGGCGCAAGCCUGAUGCAGCGACGCCGCGUGGGGGAUGACGGCCUUCGGGUUGUAAACUCCUUUCGCUAGGGACGAAGCGUUUUUGUGACGGUACCUGGAGAAGAAGCACCGGCUAACUACGUG
rnacentral:rRNA from 1 species